ACCUCAGUUUCUUUGUCCUGUCAAUUCCUCACAAAUUUAUUGUUUCUUUGCCUAAACAGUAUAAAAGCUGCCUGCUCUGACUACUACUUAGGUCCCAUUUCUGUGAGACCUCUGUGUGCAGGGUUAGAGAUUUGUUUUUUCCUCCUGUUAAUCUGUCUUGUGUCAAUUUUAUUAUCGGUUCAGCCGCAAGAACUCAAAAGGAAAAUUCCCCCUCGCUGACAGUAUAUUCACCUAAUUAUAAAGAUUUCUGUGUGGAACUGUCUUUAUCCAUAUUAAACUAAAGAUGAGUUUAUACUGAUGUCUCCAACAUGAUCUUUUAUCACAUGGAUGUUGUAACCUUCUCCCCUUAAUUAUCUGUAACUUUCCACUCCGACGGUGAGAAAACUGCAUCCCACGGUCUGUCAUUUAUUUAAUUCAUUGCUUGUUCUCUUCCAGGUUACAGAUAUACUGGUUUCAGUAUUGGUAGCUACUACCCCAUGGGAAAGACUUUUAUAAAAUAGAGUCCACUGUUUACGUGUGGUUCAUUUUGCCUUUAGUCUACAGAGUCUGCUCAUUUCCAAAGUUACUGAGGUCACCACCAGCACCAUUAUGAGUGGAGGUGCUGCGGACACAGUUGAUCAAAACAGUUGUCUAAAUGGUGGAAGAGCAAUUGUUGGAUCCUGAGGUGAGACUUGUUUGGUUUUGGGAAAAAAGUGCCAAGCUGUCUUUUGAAGGAGCUGUACAUGCGUUUCGUCAGCAAAGAGGGAGAGUUCCUAUUUUUCCUCACCCUCCAGCAAUCGUUUCUGUCACUUUUUUGGAGUUUACCAGUUCUCAUAAGUGUGCAAUGCUAUCUUGUUUUCAUUUGUAAUUCUCCAGUGGUAUAUGAUACUAAACAUAUUGUAUGCUUAUCUAUUUUCUGUAUGUUAUUUGACCAGGUGUCUGUUCAGAUCUUUACCCACUUUAAAUGGUAUUGUUUUGGAGUUCUUGGUAUAAUUUGAGUACUUUUAUCAGAUACGUGUUUUGAGAAUAUUUUUUUCUCUCUGUGGCUUGUCUUUUGGUUUUCUGAAUAAGGUCUUUCACGGAGUAACGAUUUUUAAUUUUCUAAAGUCCACAUUAUAAUUUCUUUUUUCUUUUGUGGGUAGACUUUUGGGAUUUUUGUGUUAAAAUUCAUUACCAAAGCUGAUAGGGAUAGAGUAGGAUAGUUACACAGGUAGUUGUAGAAGUCCCGGUAGGGCAUUAUGGAUAGAGAGGGAAACCUAGGGAAAUUUGGGAGAACACUGAGAGUUAAUGACCGCUCAAAAGAAGCUAUCUGAAUGUCGGGGAAGAAGCAGGCUUGUUUAACUAUAAAUAAAUAAAACCACGAGAUAUACCCUAGGUCAUUAAGUGAAAGGAACAGAUGAGGCCUGCAUUCUGCUGGUUCAGCAAGGUGAUGGCCCUUAGGACCAAGGACAGGUAUCCUGCCUGAUACUAAACAGGUGCAGUGAUGGAAGCCUGACCUCAACUCGAAGAAUGACGAAGAAAGCGGUCUCUUCCCCCUCCCCACUUCCCCUUGGUUAUAAAAAUGUAGCCCACUUAAUCCUUGGGGCAGAGCCCCCUCUCUUGCCCGCUUGCAUCCCUCACAAGUGUCCUGUAAGUCUACUUCUUGCCUAUCAUUUUGCCUCUCGCUGAAUUGGAGACACAAAGAACCUGAGCCUCAGUAAGUCCAGACACCAGGUGAGUGAUUCUAAUGAAAAGACUGUGGGUUCUAGCCCCCAAUCUGGGUUUUGGCUGGGUCCGAGUCCCGGCACAUGGCUUCAAGUCCCAAUCAGAGGUGUGUGGUUUAAAACCAAGGUUAUGUAGAUUUUCUUCUAGAAUUUUUAUAGUUCUGCAUUAUAAAUUUGUCUAUGGACAAUGUUGAGUAAAUUUUGGUGUGAGUU